UACGUAGGUGGCAAGCGUUGUUCGGAAUUACUGGGCGUAAAGGGCGCGUAGGCGGCCUGCUAAGUCGAACGUGAAAUCCCCGGGCUCAACCCGGGAACUGCGUCCGAUACUGGCAGGCUUGAAUUCGGGAGAGGGAUGCGGAAUUCCAGGUGUAGCGGUGAAAUGCGUAGAUAUCAGGAGGAACACCGGUGGCGAAGGCGGAUCUCUGGGCCAUUACUGACGCUGAGGAGCGAAAGCGUGGGGAGCGAACAGG
rnacentral:rRNA from 1 species